rnacentral:misc_RNA from 1 species
AAGUCGUAACAAGGUUUCCGUAGGUGAACCUGCGGAAGGAUCAUUAACGAACAAAAGGGGGAGCAUUGGUUGAAGAAGGCGAGUGAUUGCCAUCUUUUUCCAUGUUUUCCUUUUUUAUCCACAUACCCCAAACAUUGUGUGCACUGUUUUUUUUUAAAAACACAAAAAACUCACUUAACCAAAAACUGUCUGAAAAUUUUAUUAAAAUACACAACUUUUAACAACGGAUCUCUUGGUUCUC